GUCUUCGUAGCGCAGUUGGUUAGCGCGUUGGUCUCGUAGGUUGUUCUAUGAUCUAGUUCUUAAGCUAGGCUAUCCAAAGGCCGUGAGUUCGAGUCUCACCGAGGACA